AUACGUAGGUGACAAGCGUUAUCCGGAUUUACUGGGCGUAAAGGGCGUGUAGGCGGUCUUGCAAGUCAGAAGUGAAAUUCCUGAGCUCAACUCGGGCGCUGCUUCUGAAACUGCAGGACUUGAGUGCUGGAGGGGAUAGCGGAAUUCCUAGUGGAGCGGUAAAAUGCGCAGAUAUUAGGAAGAACACCGGUGGCGAAGGCGGCUAGCUGGACAGUAACUGACGCUGAGGCGCGAAAGCGUGGGGAGCAAACAGGAUUAGAUCCCCUGGUAGUCCACGCUGUAAACGAUGAAUACUAGGUGUAGGGGGUAUCGACUCCCUCUGUGCCGCAGUUAACACAAUAAGUAUUCCGCCUGGGGAGUACGGCCGCAAGGUUGAAACUCAAAGGAAUUGACGGGG
rnacentral:rRNA from 1 species